GUGUUUUAAUAAAAAAUGUUCUGGUAAAUCUUUCUGAAUUGCAGCCCUAAUUACUCUGCAGCCUGAUGUGCAGCAAUUGCAAAGCUAAUAGGAUCACCUGAAUCCAGUUAAUGAAUCCUCUGUUAUGUCUUGCUGUGACUCACAAGAUGUGCAGUGUUUCUUCUGGUCUCCCCUGCCCUGCUCCAUUCCCUGGUGAAUAUUUAUGCUCUGUAUGGCUGAAGGUAAAGGGGGUGUGCACCUAGACUCUGAAUGAAUUAACUUAAAUAUAUGUGCAUCCUUCCUCUCAUUAUUUCAAGGGACUUUUAAGGAUCAAGAGCCUGGGCUUUUUGCUUUGGUCUCAAGAAUCCCCUUCAUCUGUGAGGAACAGUUCUGCUGCCAACUUCAUACCACCACCUCUUCCUCCACAGAGGAAAGACUUCUGAGCCUGCUGAGAGCUGCCUCGUUAUGUGGGAUGGUGGCAGGGAUGUAACUACAGAGGAGCCCCUAUGCUCAUCUCCUGGGAGCCCCCACAGCUCUGCAGAAGUGUUCUCAAUCGCUACCGUUUGGUUGCAGCUGGCUGUGCUGUGCCCUGCGUCAGCCUCCAGAGAGCCUGUGUGAUGGGACAGGAGACCUUUCAGCUGGAGAAGUCAGCUGCUGUGCAAGCUUGACCCAGAUUCUGAGCUAAGGGGCUUUCAUCUGGAGAGCUUCCUCACUGAUUUUCAGCCUUAGCUGCGUGAAUUUGUGUCUCCAGACCAGUCUGGGAAUGUAAGAGCCGGGGAAUCAUCUGAACACCGGGAGCUGUUCUACAAGGUAGGAAAGAAUGGUCAU